UUGGAGGGCAAGUCUGGUGCCAGCAGCCGCGGUAAUUCCAGCUCCAAUAGCGUAUAUUAAAGUUGUUGCAGUUAAAAAGCUCGUAGUUGAAUUUCGGGAUCAAUGUUUCGGUCAUGCCGUUGGUAUGUACUGAUAUUAUUGGUUUCUCACCUUCUAAAGAACCGUAAUGCCAUUAAUUUGGUGUCACGGGGAAUUAGGACUGUUACCUUGAAAAAAUUAGAGUGUUUAAAGCAGGCUCACGCUUGAAUACAUUAGCAUGGAAUAAUGAAAUAGGACAUCCGAUUCUAUUUUGUUGGUUUCUAGGAUCGAUGUAAUGAUUAAUAGGGAUAGUUGGGGGCAUUAGUAUUCAAUUGUCAGAGGUGAAAUUCUUGGAUUUAUUGAAGACUAACUACUGCGAAAGCAUUUGCCAAGGAUGUUUUCAUUAAUCAAGAACGAAAGUUAGGGGAUCGAAGACGAUCAGAUACCGUCGUAGUCUUAACCAUAAACUAUGCCGACUAGGGAUCGGAUGAUGUUAAUUUUUUAAUGACUCAUUCGGCGCCUUACGGGAAACCAAAG
rnacentral:rRNA from 1 species